AGUCGCUAGGGGAAAAGCUUAGCUGCCUUCUUCAAUCCCUCUCAGCUCAGCCUAGAGCCAAACUUUUUGGUGAGAGAGAGAGAGAGCAAAGGAAGAAAAGAACAGAGUUUCGUGGCCUGAGGUGCUAAACUAGGAAGGGGAGGGAAGCUCUCGGUAAACUCCAGCUCUGCUUCCAGGACUUCUGAAAUACUUAAAAGAGAUUGGAGAAGGAGGCAUAAGGAAUUGACCAUGCUGGGGUGCUGGCCUCCUGGGCUGAGUAGUUGCAGCAAACUCUCCCUUCAUUUUCAGAGGGCAUCCAAGAUAAAAAAAAUUUACAUCAGCAUAGGACACAGUACAUUGUGUUCACACUGCCAUAUGACACAGUGAAAGGUUAUACAGAGCAUGCACAUAUUCUGUUUCUGCUUCUAAUCCAACACUUGGUGGCUUACUUAUUAAGCCUAUCUGCCAGUAACUGACUGGGGACCUGCUGUGGUGACAAAGAAACCCUUAGCUGCCUAGAAACUUGGAAGAACCAAUGGUUGAGGAGGAAAAGAGCCAAAAAUUAGUUUGCAUACAAAAGGAUCAUGUCAGCAGGCAAGACCAGAAGAGAAGAGGAUCAGCCAGGUAGUCUUUUGAAUGUCCCCAGUUUCUGUUGUACACCCUCAGCAAAUCAAAAAAGCAUAAUGGAACCAGGUGUGAAAUGUCCAGCCAUGCUCUGGAUCUCUCCAAGAUACUUCUAUCACACAUCCUGACUCUCUGAAAAGAAUUCUUCAAGCCUUUUCAGUGUAAGGAAAU
rnacentral:lncRNA from 1 species